rnacentral:pre_miRNA from 1 species
AGGAGGAACAACCCCAGUGGCGGGGCCAGCUCUGGAGCCCUGGAUUCAGCCUCUACAGUAACUCCGGAGCUCACCGUCCGCAGGGCCUGGAUGCUCUGGGGUUGG